rfam:Bombyx mori DNA, contig: Bm_scaf1_contig662, strain: p50T/Dazao, build 2, whole genome shotgun sequence.
UUAACUCAAAUUUGUAUGGAGUUGGAACAGCGCCCCUGGCAGCAAACGAAGGGAAGCUGCUCCAGCUCCAUAAAAAUUUGACAAUA